UACGUAGGGGGCUAGCGUUGUCCGGAAUCAUUGGGCGUAAAGCGCGUGUAGGCGGCCCGGUAAGUCCGCUGUGAAAGUCGGGGGCUCAACCCUCGGAAGCCGGUGGAUACUGUCGGGCUCGAGUACGGAAGAGGCGAGUGGAAUUCCUGGUGUAGCGGUGAAAUGCGCAGAUAUCAGGAGGAACACCAAUUGCGAAGGCAGCUCGCUGGGACGUCACUGACGCUGAGACGCGAAAGCGUGGGGAGCAAACAGG
rnacentral:rRNA from 1 species